rnacentral:rRNA from 1 species
AUUGAACGCUGGCGGCAUGCCUUACACAUGCAAGUCGAACGGCAGCACGGGGCAACCUGGUGGCGAGUGGCGAACGGGUGAGUAAUGCAUCGGAACGUACCUUUCAGUGGGGGAUAACGUAGCGAAAGUUACGCUAAUACCGCAUAUUCUGUGAGCAGGAAAGCAGGGGAUCGCAAGACCUUGCGCUGAUUGAGCGGCCGAUGUCAGAUUAGCUAGUUGGUGAGGUAAAGGCUCACCAAGGCGACGAUCUGUAGCGGGUCUGAGAGGAUGAUCCGCCACACUGGAACAGGGACACGGUCCAGACUCCUACGGGAGGCAGCAGUGGGGAAUUGUGGACAAUGGGAGCAACCCUGACCCAGCCAUGCCGCGUGAGUGAAGAAGGCCUUCGGGUUGUAAAGCUCUUUCGGCCGGGAAGAAAUCGCACGGGCUAAUACCCUGUGUGGAUGACGGUACCGGAAUAAGAAGCACCGGCUAACUACGUGCCAGCCGCCGCCGUAACAC